UCCACAUGGCACUGACAGCCUCUUUCACUGACCAAGCCUCCGGGACUGACAAUUACAAUCACCCACCCUGGAAACAGCCAUAAUACUGUCAAUCAAGGCACAGCUUGGAUUCAGGAGCACCUGGGACAUGUCCCCAAACCUCAGACCCAGAGGGGGUAACAACCAUCCCUCAGGGACCUCAGGGAAUUUCCCAGCCCCAUGUUAGGCAGUUUGGCCUCCCUGGCCAUCUCUGGGCUCCAGGCUGGCGACGGUGCUGAUUUUCACUAUUUAGCACAGAAUGGCAGCCUCGCUGAUUA